rnacentral:misc_RNA from 1 species
GAUGAAGAACGUAGCGAAAUGCGAUAAGUAGUGUGAAUUGCAGAAUUCAGUGAAUCAUCGAAUCUUUGAACGCACAUUGCGCCCCAUGGUAUUCCGUGGGGCAUGCCUGUUCGAGCGUCAUUUACCCCCUCAAGCUCCGCUUGGUGUUGGGCGUCUGUCCCGCUUCGCGCGCGGACUCGCCCCAAAGGUAUUGGCAGCGGUCGUGCCAGCUCCUCGCGCAGCACAUUGCGCUUCUCGAGGCACCGGUGGGCCCGCGUCCAUCAAGCUCACCCCCCCAGUUUGACCUCGGAUCAGGUAGGGAUACCCGCUGAACUUAAGCAUAUCAAUAAGCGGAGGA